AGUGAACGCUGGCGGUAGGCCUAACACAUGCAAGUCGAACGGCAGCACAGUAAGAGCUUGCUCUUACGGGUGGCGAGUGGCGGACGGGUGAGGAAUACAUCGGAAUCUACUUUUUCGUGGGGGAUAACGUAGGGAAACUUACGCUAAUACCGCAUACGACCUACGGGUGAAAGCAGGGGAUCUUCGGACCUUGCGCGAUUGAAUGAGCCGGUGGCGGAUUAGCUAGUUGGCGGGGUAGAGGCCCACCAAGGCGACGAUCCGUAGCUGGUCUGAGAGGGUGGGCGACUACCUGGGGACUGCGGUACGGCCCAGACGGCGACGGGGAGCAGGAGUGGGGAAUAUGAAACCAUGGGCGGGAGCAUAAUAAAGCAACGCUUCGUGCGGGAUGACGGCCUUCGGGAAGUAAACAGCUGUCGCCUGUGACGGAGCGGGAGUGACGGGAAGGGAUAAAGAAGCACCGGCUAACUUCGUG
rnacentral:rRNA from 1 species